GCCUGGGUGGCUCAGUUGGUUAAGCGUCUGACUUCGGCUCAGGUCAUGAUCUCACAGUCUGUGAGUUCGAGCCCCGCGUCGGGCU
rfam:Felis catus isolate Cinnamon breed Abyssinian chromosome B1, whole genome shotgun sequence.